rnacentral:rRNA from 1 species
CAGUAGCCGCGGGAAUACGAAGGGGGCUAGCGUUGCUCGGAAUUACUGGGCGUAAGGGGCGCGUAGGCGGACAGUUCAGUCGGGGGUGAAAGCCCGGGGCUCAACCUCGGAAUUGCCUUCGAUACUGGCUGUCUUAAGUAUGAGAGAGGUGUGUGGAACUCCGAGUGUAGAGGUGAAAUUCGUAGAUAUUCGGAAGAACACCAGUGGCGAAGGCGACUCUCUGGUCUGUAACUGACGCUGAGGAGCGAAAGCGUGGGGAGCAAAUGGGAUUAGAUACCCCCGUAGUCCCUGUCUCUUAUAC